CCCGCAACGAGCGCAACCCUUGUCUUUAGUUGCCAUCAUUAAGUUGGGCACUCUAGGGAGACUGCCAGGGAUAACCUGGAGGAAGGUGGGGAUGACGUCAAAUCAUCAUGCCCCUUAUGCUUAGGGCUACACACGUGCUACAAUGGGUAGUACAGAGGGUUGCCAAGCCGUAAGGUGGAGCUAAUCCCUUAAAGCUACUCUCAGUUCGGAUUGUAGGCUGAAACUCGCCUACAUGAAGCUGGAGUUACUAGUAAUCGCAGAUCAGAAUGCUGCGGUGAAUGCGUUCCCGGGUCUUGUACACACCGCCCGUCACACCACGGGAGUUGGAGACGCCCGAAGCCGAUUAUCUAACCUUUUGGAAGAAGUCGUCGAAGGUGGAAUCAAUAACUGGGGUGAAGUCGUAACAAGGUAGCCGUAUCGGAAGGUGCGGCUGGAUCACCUCCUUUCUAAGGAGA
rnacentral:rRNA from 1 species